AGGAGAAAGCACCAUCCAUAAGUGGUUUGCUCUGUUUAGAAGCGGAAAUUUUCAUGUUGGAAGACGCAAAGCACUGGUCGUUCCUCAAACGUUGUUGAUGACGGUAUCAAGUUACGAAAAAGAAUAUAAGACAAAGUUCAGAUCUCAUGCCUAAUUUGUUAAACAGAUGGGUUAGUCUCGUACGUACUGAGGACAACUCGAAAUUAUGCUAGGAAUUUUGACUCUUACAAUCGAGACAAACUGUCUAUUAAGGGAUAAAAGCAACUAGCACCGGAAACUAACACAAAUAGAAUGCUCAAUUGACGAUGCGGUGAUAAUUGGACAAAAUCUACUGAAUACAACCAUCCAUCAAUAAAGGUGACAACAGACACUUCACAUCACCGGGAGGACAGAUGAUAAGAAAAACCAGUCAGCGCUGGCACUCAAUUUGUGGAAUUAAUAGACGAGGAAGUUAGUAGGGACAGUAAGAAGAAGGUUCCAUGAAAAUAACCUCAGGGCCCGGCACCCGGCCUUCUUACCACCGCUCAGAAAAUGGCCAGGCAUUCGCACGGGACCAUCCAAUUGGACAUUGGAAGAUUGGGAAGUUCUCUUUACAGAUGAGGUGAGAGUUGGCCUCAAAUUUCAGAUGGGUGUAAUUUCAUAUGGAGAUGUUCAGGAGAAAGGCAAGCUCUAUGCUGUUUGGUUCCCCAGGUAGCAUUCCACGGUGGGUCGUUGAUGUUCUGGUGUGGCAUUUCCUUGGACGACCGCACAGAAAUGGUUGUUGUGCGAGGAAGGUCUCUAACUUCACAGAGGCAUAAUUGAAUAACAUGUAGUGCCAUUUGCCAUCCACACCGGUGAGAGAUUCUGGCUAAUGCGGGAUAAUGCAUGGGGACUGGCAAGCAGCACUUGGGAGCACGUGUUGUGGACUUUUUUCAUGGACUACCUGAAUGUGGUUGGAAUCGAGCGCUUGGAGUAUUUUUGAUGAGGAAACACCCCCGUUUCGCUUAACAUCGGAACUGGGACCCAACAACACAAUCUCAUCCCGAAGGACCGUCUUUUUUGUCGGAAGUGUACUCUCUCCCUCAGGCCAAGGCGUGAUACUCCUACCAAGUGUGGAAACACUGAGCAACCUUUCUCUACAAGCGGGAAGCCUUCGAAGUUUCCCGAAAAAGCAGGUGUCCGUAAGCGUUUCAGACCUUCGGUAUAAAGUUAUAGGUCUACAAAAGAUUUGAAAAGAAUUUUUUUUCCGAAAAAAAAUGCCUGUAGUGAGGUUUUUAAAAAUGAAAAUUACGAUAUUUCAACGUUUCGGCGAUCCUACCAAAUUUUCAAGAAACAUUUUAUUUUCGAAUAUUGCAUAC
rnacentral:sRNA from 1 species